UACGGGGGGGGCAAGCGUUGUUCGGAAUUACUGGGCGUAAAGGGCUCGUAGGCGGCCAACUAAGUCGGAUGUGAAAUCCCCAGGCUUAACCUGGGAACUGCAUCCGAUACUGGAUGGCUUGAAUCCGGGAGAGGGAUGCAGAAUUCCAGGUGUAGCGGUGAAAUGCGUAGAUAUCUGGAGGAAUACCGGUGGCGAAGGCGGCGACCUGGGUAGAUACUGACGCUGAGGUGCGAAAGCGUGGGGAGCAAACAGG
rnacentral:rRNA from 1 species